UACAGAGGUCCCGAGCGUUGUUCGGAUUCAUUGGGCGUAAAGGGUGCGUAGGCGGUCUGCUAAGUUUGAUGUGAAAUUCCAGGGCUCAACCCUGGCAUGGCAUUGAAUACUGGCGGACUAGAGUACUGGAGAGGAAACUGGAAUUUACGGUGUAGCAGUGAAAUGCGUAGAGAUCGUAAGGAAGACCAGUGGCGAAGGCGAGUUUCUGGACAGUAACUGACGCUGAGGCACGAAGGCCAGGGGAGCAAACGGG
rnacentral:rRNA from 1 species